CUGACCCAGAACAGAAGCCACCCCGUGUUACCUGACUUCAUGCGAUCUGGGGGCCCACAACACCUAAGCCCUGGGAAAGAUCCUGAAGACACCGGGCUCCUUUAAAUUCCCCCAGCAUGACCUGGAGUUCCCUGCAAGGGGCCAAAGGUGCCAGGGCCUGUCCUUACGGAUAUUGAGACCUGCGAUUUGUCCCCAUGAAGACACAAGGCCGCUUGUGGAUGCCCUACAUCCACAGGGGUUGGUUGCAGCCUGACAGCCUGGAUUCUGGUAGCAGCUCAGCAGCCCCAGGAUCCCACGGAGGCCAGAGGCAUCAGAUCCCCUGGAGCUGGAGUGACCAGCAGUUGUGAAGCACCCAACAUGGGUUCUGGGACUCAAACCCAGGAUCCUGUCAGUUUGACUAGAUUGGCCGGUCAGCAAGUCCUAACAAUCCUCCCUCCUGUCUCAGCCUCACAGUGCUGGGAUUACAGGGUCCUGCCACUUUGGCCAGCUUUUCUCCUGAGUGUUGGGGAUCCUAACUCGGGUCCUCAUUGUUUUCAAGGCACUUCACUCACUGAGCCGUGUCUUCCACCCCUUAUUUAUUUGACUUACCUACUUAUGUACUUAUUUUAGUUUUUUUCAGCACAGGACUUCUCUGUAUAACCUUGGCUGACCUGGACUCACUUUGUAGACCAGGCUGGCCUUGAACUCACAGAGAUCAGGCUCCCUCUGCCUCCCUGAGUGCUGGGAUUACAGGCUUGCACAACCACACCCAGCCCUUAAUUAAAUAUACAUAUGUACCCUCUGCUGGGGCUAGGGAGAGAAGUCAACAGUUAAGAGCACUUGUUGCUCUUGGAGAAGACCUGGGUUCAACCCCCAGCACCCACAUGUUGGCUCACAACCAUCCCUAACUCCAAAAUCCUCCUCUGAUCCCCUCAGGCACUAGGUAUGCACGUGCUGGACGUACAUACAUGCAGGCAAAAUACUCAUACACAUAAAAUUAAAUAAACCAAUAAAU